UACGUAGGGUGCAAGCGUUGUCCGGAAUUAUUGGGCGUAAAGAGCUCGUAGGCGGUCUGUCGCGUCGGCUGUGAAAACCCGGAGCUCAACUCCGGGCCUGCAGUCGAUACGGGCAGACUGGAGUUCGGCAGGGGAGACUGGAAUUCCUGGUGUAGCGGUGAAAUGCGCAGAUAUCAGGAGGAACACCGGUGGCGAAGGCGGUCUGCUGGGCAGUUGCUGACACUGAGGCGCGACAGCGUGGGGAGCAAACAGG
rnacentral:rRNA from 1 species